CUCCACGUGUCCCAUCCCCCAGUCCAGACUUGUGGGGGUGAGGAUAUCCUAUAUUUUAUAUUUUCUGGACACCCAGAGUUCUGGACCCUGCUUCUAAUUGGGGGCCCCUGGCUGUACCCUGUUACAAUAAGCCACAUCCCGGGGGCAGUAGCCUUUAUGGAACUACUCCAGAUACAAGUCAGCAAACAUGGACAAGUGACUACAGCAACAGCCUGGGGGAAGAGAAGGGUUGGUAUACAAGUUGCUACAAUGUUCCACCUAAAAUGUCCAGUAUUCAACAAAAAGUUAUAUAGAUAGGGAGAGA